GAGGAGCUUGCGGCAGAUUAGCUAGUUGGUAAGGUAAUGGCUUACCAAGGCUACGAUCUGUAACCGGUCUAAGAGGACGGUCGGUCACACUGACACUGAAUAACGGGUCAGACUCCUACGGGAGGCAGCAGUCGGGAAUUUUGGGCAAUGGGCGAAAGCCUGACCCAGCAACGCCGCGUGAAGGAUGAAGUAUUUCGGUAUGUAAACUUCGAAAGAAUAGGAAGAAUUAAUGACGGUACUAUUUAUAAGGUCCGGCUAACUACGUGCCAGCAGCCGCGGUAAUACGUAGGGACCAAGCGUUGUUCGGAUUUACUGGGCGUAAAGGGCGCGUAGGCGGCGUGGUAAGUCACUUGUGAAAUCUCUGAGCUUAACUCAGAACGGUCAAGUGAUACUGCUGUGCUAGAGUGCAGAAGGGGCAAUCGGAAUUCUUGGUGUAGCGGUGAAAUGCGUAGAUAUCAAGAGG
rnacentral:rRNA from 1 species